GGAGACCUACGGGAGGCAGCAGUGAGGAAUAUUGGUCAAUGGACGAGAGUCUGAACCAGCCAAGUAGCGUGAAGGAUGACUGCCCUAUGGGUUGUAAACUUCUUUUAUAUGGGAAUAAAACGUUCCACGUGUGGGAUUUUGUAUGUACCAUAUGAAUAAGGAUCGGCUAACUCCGUGCCAGCAGCCGCGGUAAUACGGAGGAUCCGAGCGUUAUCCGGAUUUACUAGGUUUGAAGGGAGCGUAGAUGGGUUGUUAAGUCAGUUGUGAAAGUUUGCGGCUCAACCGUACAAUUGCAAUUGAUACUG
rnacentral:rRNA from 1 species